rnacentral:rRNA from 1 species
AGGCUGACGGCUCAGUAACACGUAGUCAACCUAACCUAUGGACGGGGAUAACCUCGGGAAACUGAGAAUAAUACCCGAUAGAUCAUGGUGCCUGGAACGGUUUAUGGUUCAAAUGAUUUAUCGCCAUAGGAUGGGACUGCGGUCUAUCAGCUUGUUGGUGAGGUAAUGGCCCACCAAGGCUAUAACAGAUACGGGCUCUGAGAGGAGGGGCCCGGAGAUGGGUACUGGGACACGGACCCAGGUCCUAUGGGGCGCAGCAGGCGAGAAACCUUUGCAAUGUGCGAAAGCACGACAAGGUUAAUCCGAGUGAUUUCUGCUAAAGAAAUCUUUUGUUAGUCAUAAAACCACUGAUGAAUAAGGGGUGGGCAAGUUCUGGUGUCAGCCGCCGCGGUAAUACCAGCACCUCUAGUGGUCAGGAGGUUUAUUGGGCCUAAAGCAUCCGUAGCCGGCUGUCCUAGUUUCCGGUUAAAUCCACACGCUUAACGUAUGGGCUGCCGGAAAUACUGUUCAGCUAGGGAGUG